AGCAGCGUGGCUCAGUGGAAAGAGCACGGGCUUGGGAGUCAGAGGUCAUGGGUUUGAAUCCCGUCCCUGCCA
rnacentral:tRNA from 1 species